UGCAGAUUGCUUCAGAGCUGGUGUCUCCUGGGCUUGGACAAAGUGUCAGGCAUCCGUCUUUGUCAUCACAAUCCGGGUGUCUGCCCUGUGUGCUGGGUACCUUGCAGAGCCGGCAGAUCAGCCCCGGGCAUGCCCUCUGGGUACUUGGCCUGAAGAGGGGACUGUAGAGACUACUCCGAACUAGACAGUGGAGAUAAAAGAGGGGCAGAAUCAGGUAAAGAUCUUAGAUGCAGCAUGUGGGAUCUAGUUCUCUGACCAGGGAUCGAAUCCAGACCCCCUGCACUGGGAGCGCAGAGGGGUAGCCACUGUACCACCAGGGAAGUAACCUGAUUUACUAUCAAGUUGUUUUUUUUUUUUUAAGUUUUUCUAUGCUAUGUUUUAUAUGAUUUCUUUAUAUUUAGUUUCCAAUCCAUUAAUUUAUUUUAGCUAUGUCUACUAUUCUGUGUACAUUACUUUGCUGACAAAGGCUGUGGUUUUUCCAGUGGUCAUGUAUGGAUGUGAGAGUUGGACUAUGAAGAAAGCUGAGCACCGAAGAAUUGAUGCUUUUGAACUGAAGUGCUGGAGAAGACUCUUGAGAGUCCCUUGGACUGCAAAGAGAUCUAACCAGUCCAUCCUAAAGGAGAUCAGUCUUGAAUAUUCAUUGGAAGGACUGAUGCUGAAGCUGAAGCUGAAGCUGAAGGUCCAAUAUGUUGGCCAUUAAUGGGAAGAACUGACUCCUUGGAAAAGACCCUGGUGCUGAAAGGUUGAAGGCAGGAGGAGAAGCGGAUGACAGAGGAUGGGAUGGUUGGAUGGCAUCACCAGCUCAAUGGACAUGAGUUUGAGCAAGCUCUGGGAGUUGGUGAUGGACAGACAGGGAAGCCUGGAGUGCUGCAGUCCUUGGGGUCACAAAGAGUUGGACACAACUGAGCGACUGAUCUAAACUGUUCUGUGUAAUCUGUCCAUUAAGUGUUUUACAUAGUGAUUUUAUUUUUUAAUCUAUGAAAUUUCUAUUUGGUUUUUAUUAUAUUGUGAUUUUUUGUAUGGUGUCCUGUUUUUCCAUAAAGUAUCUAUUCUUUAAAAAAUUUGAG
ensembl:lncRNA